UUGGUGAGGGCUAUUGACGACAGAAAAGCUACCCCGGGGAUAACAGAGUCGUCGCCGGCAAGAGCACAUAUCGACCCGGCGGCUUGCUACCUCGAUGUCGGUUCUUUCCAUCCUGGCUGUGCAGCAGCAGCCAAGGGUGAGGUUGUUCGCCUAUUAAAGGGGAUCGUGAGCUGGGUUUAGACCGUCGUGAGACAGGUCGGUUACUAUCUAUUUGGAGUGUCUGGAGUCUGAGGGCAAGAGGGAAAUAGUACGAGAGGAACUUUCCGUCGUCGCCUCUGGUGGAUCGGUUGUCCGACAGGGCAAUGCCGAGCAGCUACGCGAUAAGGGAUAAAAGCUGAAAGCAUCUAAGCUUGAAACCCAGCCUGAAAAGAGACUCCGUUUGAGGACAUCGGUAAAAGACCGGUUUGAUAGGCCUGGGAUGUACGCACGAAGGCAACGACGUGUUCAGUCCGCAGGUACUAACGUCCGAUUGCCGUC
rnacentral:rRNA from 1 species